rnacentral:rRNA from 1 species
AUACGGAGGGUCCGAGCGUUAUCCGGAAUCAUUGGGUUUAAAGGGUCCGUAGGCGGGAAUCUAAGUCAGUGGUGAAAUCUUGCAGCUCAACUGUAAAAUUGCCAUUGAUACUGGAUUUCUUGAAUUAGUGUGAAGUGGUUAGAAUGUGUAGUGUAGCGGUGAAAUGCAUAGAUAUUACACAGAAUACCAAUUGCGAAGGCAGAUCACUAACACUAUAUUGACGCUGAGGGACGAAAGCGUGGGGAGCGAACAGGAUUAGAUACCCUGGUAGUCC